UGAAGAAACGGGACUCCAGAACAAAGGUUGGAGUGGACGGUCCACCAACGUAGCGAGUCUUUGACUGGAGUAGGCAGGGAGAGAGUCUUGUUUAAAGAAUGCAUAUUCGGUUUGUAAACCGUUGCCAGCCACGCUUGGAAGCACCUCAUGUGUAGGCGUGCAUUCUGGACGACAAAAGUGCACGAGGCCAUGUGACCUAGUAGUUGCAGGCAGUCUCGGGCAGUUACCUGAGGGCUGUUGCGAAUAGUUGUGGUCAGUUGUUUUAUGGAAUUGUAGCGAUCGGGUGGGAGCGAUGCUAGCCCGGUCCGAGAGUCGAGGUCUGCGCCUAUGAACUGAAGGUGCUGGGUGGGGCGUAAUGUGGAUUUGUCUCUGUUUAUUUGUAGGCCGAGAGAAAGAAAGCACUCGACUGUGAGUCGUGUGAACCGGAGCGCCUCGUUGAAUGUUGAAGCUUUGAGGAGGCAAUCGUCGAGGUGUCUGGAGACCUAAAGACCGGAGGGUUGUUCUGGAGUCUUUCAUUGAAUGAAGCACUUCAUUCGUGUUAGCAGCAAAGAGUUUGUCACCGUCGAAGGGAAGAUCUUCAAUUGUGUUCUGAACUUCGCGAGGAAAAAAGGAAGAGGAGAGCCAUGAGCCCCGUCGCAUGACUAUCGCUGUAGCGGUAGAUCUUGCCGCUGUGUUGGCUACAUCGAGGGCUGCUUGGAGAGCGGUGCGUGAAAUGGCUUGGCCCUCAGAAACUAUAGCUCUGAACUGUUGUUUUCUUUGUUCUGGAAUGUCAUCAAUAAAGUCCAUUAACUUA